CAGUGUCACAGCUCUUUUAUAAUUUGUCUAGCAGGUUUUCUGGUUCUUCACGAGAACCCCU
ensembl:snRNA U7 U7 small nuclear RNA